UGUAGUCGGGAUCGUCUUCCUCCAUUUUGACCUUCGGAUUCAGCAACGUUCCUAGAAAAGAACCAUGCACUGGGCCAAUUUCAACUUAUACUUCAUUUGGUACAAGGAAUAAUUAGAUGGAGGGGCGAUGGAUAAAAUUAGGACCAGCAGAUAUCAAGCAAAGACGAAUGCAGGUUAUGGGACAUGCUGGCAGGGAGCUCAAAGUGGAUCUUGAUAGGAAGUUAGUUGUCCCCAACAUCAAUGAAUUAACCUGUAUACAAACAGA